GAUGAACGCUAGCGGCAGGCCUAAUACAUGCAAGUCGAACGGAGCAGCAAUGCUUAGUGGCGCACGGGUGCGUAACGCGUAUGAAACCUGCCCUUCACUGGGGGAUAACCUCUCGAAAGAGAGGCUAAUACCGCAUAAGAUAGUAGAGUGGCAUCACUUAGCUAUUAAAACUCCGGUGGUGAAGGAUGGUCAUGCGUCCAAUUAGUUAGUUGGUAGGGUAACGGCCUACCAAGACGAUGAUUGGUAGGGGGUCUGAGAGGAUGAUCCCCCACACUGGUACUGAGAUACGGACCAGACUCCUACGGAGGCAGCAGUAGGGAAUAUUGGUCAAUGGAGGCAACUCUGAACCAGCCAUGCCGCGUGCAGGAAGAAGGCCUGGGUU
rnacentral:rRNA from 1 species